rfam:Eimeria tenella Houghton genomic scaffold, Eth_scaff22
GCCUCCUUAGCUUAGUCGGUAGAGCGUCCGCCUUGUAAGCUGAAGGUCGCUGGUUCGAUUCCGGCAGGGGGCU